CAGCAGCCGCGGUAAUACAGAGGGUGCAAGCGUUAAUCGGAAUUACUGGGCGUAAAGCGCACGCAGGCGGUCUGUCAAGUCAGAUGUGAAAUCCCCGGGCUUAACCUGGGAACUGCAUUUGAAACUGGCAGGCUAGAGUCUUGUAGAGGGGGGUAGAAUUCCAGGUGUAGCGGUGAAAUGCGUAGAGAUCUGGAGGAAUACCGGUGGCGAAGGCGGCCCCCUGGACAAAGACUGACGCUUAGGUGCGAAAGCGUGGGGAGCAAACAGGAUUAGAUACCCGAGUAGUCCCUGUCUCUUAUAC
rnacentral:rRNA from 1 species